AGAGUUUGAUCAUGGCUCAGGAUGAACGCUAGCUACAGGCUUAACACAUGCAAGUCGAGGGGCAGCAGGACGAUAGCUUGCUAUUGUUGCUGGCGACCGGCGCACGGGUGAGUAACGCGUAUCCAACCUUCCCCUUAGUAGGGAAUAGCCCGGUGAAAAUCGGAUUAAUGCCCUAUGUUCUUCACAGCGGACAUCUAACGUGAAGCAAAGAUUCAUCGCUAAGGGAUGGGGAUGCGUCUGAUUAGGUAGACGGCGGGGUAACGGCCCACCGUGCCAACGAUCAGUAGGGGUUCUGAGAGGAAGGUCCCCCACAUUGGAACUGAGACACGGUCCAAACUCCUACGGGAGGCAGCAGUGAGGAAUAUUGGUCAAUGGUCGAGAGACUGAACCAGCCAAGUAGCCGUGCAGGAUGACGGCCCUAUGGGUUGUAAACUGCUUUUAUCGGGGGAUAAAGUCGCCUACGUGUAGGCGUUUGUAGGUACCCGAUGAAUAAGGACCGGCUAAUUCCGUGCCAGCAGCUGC
rnacentral:rRNA from 1 species